rnacentral:lncRNA from 1 species
GUCGUUCCUUUGGGGUGCGACGUGUCUCAGGUGAGGUGGUGUCGAGGUCUUGGAUGCUGGGGCGGCGGCCCUGGUGGUGGUAGCGCAGUGCUUGUGGGCAGAGCCCGUGCCUUGGUGCUGCCCAGUCACCAUGGUCGUGUGGGCGGCGUGGUGUCCGGGGUGUGGCUUCGGUGGCGAUGAGUGUUGGCCAAGGUGAAAACCUUUUCUAUCUUCGGACGGACCAGCGGCGGCGAAGAUCGUUCCCUUCUUGAAGGCGUCGUCGCGGCUCUCAUUGUCUGUCAUGCGGUUCCGGGGGAAACUCUGAUCUUUGGAUCGGGCGGUGGCGGCGAUUCGGUGUCGUUCCCGUCCUGAAGGCGCCGCCUUGGAGCACAUGGUUCGCCAUAUGUAGCUUCAUCUCUGCGUGGGUAGUGCUAGGGGUGGUGUUGCUGCGCUCAGCACCUAUGUAUCCUACCCUGGGUGUGUGCGUGUGUUGCGGUGGCGGGGCGUGUGUUUGUACUGGGUGCUUGUUGAUUGAUGCUUUAUAUAUAAAGCGGGGCGAAAGCCUUUUUCGGUAAGAUCACACUAAAAUCCUUUUUUUAAAGCUCUCAUGGCUGAGUUGAAUUUCUUCUUGGUUGGUUUAGUAGACGGAAAGUUAGCCUCGUCUCCAAAUUCUGAAAUACGGAGUAUAAUUUUUGUUUACUAAAAAGAUUAAUUGACUUUUAACAGCUGGGGUGAUGUGAUCUGUUUUUCAACCAUGUUAACGUAUACUUUUGGAAUGGAAAAUCAAUCUAUAUCUAUUUGUUUAAACAGAGAGAGGACCUGUUUUUCAACCGCAUUAAUGUAUACUUUCGGAACAAAAAUGACAUUAUAUCUAUUUUUAAGCUUUUCCAAAAUUGGAAGCUGGAAGAUGUAUACUUUUGGCUGCACGGUGAUUUUUUUCUGCCUAUCCGUCCAUUCUACUGAACCUGAUCAUCUCUGAUUAGUGUUGUUCCUACUUCUUGCAGGGUAAACCAUUGAGUGGCAAUGAUACAUGUGUGUCCAUUGCAACUUAGAGGUACGACAUAGUGAUUAGCAGCAUGAGGUGCUGAGCACAUCGCGUGUGUGUCUGUAUGUGUGCGCUGAUAUGUGGUUCAUGAGGAACAAACUGAUUAAGCAUGCUCCAAAGCUACGAGCGACUGAACUAGGUAUCUUUUCUAUUUUCAUGGUGAAGCCUGGUUUUAACUGCUAAAGAAUAGCAGGAGAUGGAAUCAUUGAAAUACAAUCAAUUCUUAAGUAAAUGAACUGAGACUUGAUGGUUGUGUGUUAUUGGUACAAUAUGUAUUUUGGGCCUGAAUGAAGCAAAUCGAGAAUUCCUGGUUACUUAUUAUUAGUAUAGUAUACCUUUUUUGGGCCUGAAUUCUGAACCUUGCUGAUUUUUUUUAGUAGUGUGUUAUCAGUGUAGUAUGCAUUUUUGGCCUGAAUCCUUAACCUUAUCUAGGUAUUGAUUUUCUGCAAUCAGUGAAGCACUCAUGGUCAUGCGUAUUUGUUAGUCUACAUUACUUAUAGAUUUAGUUGUUUUGAUAUGUAUCCAUUCGUCGGUUAGUUAACUGAAAUUUGUUGGCAGUGGUUCUUUAUGUUCUUUAACUGUUAUACAGAAGCAGCGGACUGAAACAUUUAAAAACAAUCAGCUCUUUAUGAAUUAACUAAAGACUUGAUGGUUGCGUUAUUAUUAUAGUAUAUACAUUUUUGGGCCUGAAUUACAAAUCUGAUUCAAAUAUCCUUGUUUUGUGUUAUUAUUAUGGUAAUGUUAUCGAGCUUUGUUAAUGUUUUUUUUUCUUUCCUUCCUGAACUUCUGAUACUCUCUGCAGUGAUGAACUGUUUUUGCAUGUCAGUUAAGUACCAGGGCAACCACAGAUGAUGUUCCUUCCAUUCAUUGAGUUGCCUUACUGUUAUGUCGUCCAACUUUUUGUUAAUAUACACACUCGACAACUUACUGUUAUAACGUCCAACUUUUUGUUAAUAUACACACUUGAUUCUGGAACCCAUGAACUCUUUGUUUCUCCGAGGACAUGUUUCACAUCUACUCCUGUUUGUAAAAAAACAUUAUAGUCUAUUAUGUGUUAUAUAGUCAAAAAAUACAUAAUUGGUUCUCUUCUAUGUGCUUUCCUUAAUGAAUACACUUGGUUCACAAAAGCCUUAGCAUAAUUUGUUGAACAAGUUUUGCCUAAUUUUAUUUCUUGCAUCUCCUGUGGUAAGUUUUAUUUCUUGGUACUUGUAAAAUUGUUCAGAUUACUUAGCUUCGUUCAACUGCUGUGUUGUCUAAAUCUACUGUGCCUAUAAACAUACGUGCUUGCCCGUGACCAUGUCGGCUAUGUUGUUAUUCUUUCUUGAAUUGGUAG